UACGUAGGGUGCGAGCGUUAUUCGGAAUUACUGGGCGUAAAGCGUGCGCAGGCGGCUUUGCAAGACAGAUGUGAAAUCCCCGGGCUCAACCUGGGAACUGCAUUUGUGACUGCAGGGCUGGAGUGCGGCAGAGGGGGAUGGAAUUCCGCGUGUAGCAGUGAAAUGCGUAGAUAUGUGGAGGAACACCGAUGGCGAAGGCAGCCCCCUGGGUCGAAACUGACGCUCAUGCACAAAAGCGUGGGGAGCAAACAGG
rnacentral:rRNA from 1 species